GACGAACGCUGGCGGCGUGCUUAACACAUGCAAGUCGUACGGUAAGGCCCUUUCGGGGGUACACGCGUGGCGAACGGGUGAGUAACACGUGCGUAACUAGCCCACAACUUUGGGAUAACGCUAGGAAACUGGUGCUAAUACUGGAUAUGUGCUCCUGCUGCAUGCUGGGGGUUGGAUAGCUCCGGGGGGUGUGGAUGGACUCGCUGCCUAUCAGCUUGUUGGUGGGGUAGUGGGCUACCAAGGCGGCGACGGGUAGCCGGCCUGCGGGGGGGAACGGCCAACUUGGGACUGAGGGAAGGCCCCAACUCCGAAGGGGAGCCACAGGGGGGAAAUUUGCACGAAGGGCGCAAGCCUGGUGCAGCAAACCCUCGUGGGGGAAGACGGGCUUCGGGUUGGAAAACGGUUUUAGCAGGGACGAAACUGUUUGUGACGGUACCUGCAGAAGAAGCACCGGCUAACUACGUG
rnacentral:rRNA from 1 species